CAGCAGCCACGGUAAUACGACGGGGGCUAGCGUUGCUCGGAAUGACUGGGCGUAAAGGGCGCGUAGGCGGCGGCCAAAGUCAGGCGUGAAAUUCCCGGGCUCAACCUGGGGGCUGCGUUUGAUACUUGGUUGCUUGAGUGGGGAAGAGGGUCGUGGAAUUCCCAGUGUAGAGGUGAAAUUCGUAGAUAUUGGGAAGAACACCGGUGGCGAAGGCGGCGACCUGGUCCUUUACUGACGCUGAGGCGCGAAAGCGUGGGGAGCAAACAGGAUUAGAUACCCGUGUAGUCCCUGUCUCUUAUAC
rnacentral:rRNA from 1 species